AUCUAUAAUAUGUGUAUGAGUAUCUAUUAUUAUAUAUGGAGGUUAAUCCGGCCCAGAGGUUGACUUGACAGGGUUGAUGAAGAGGGAAAUAAGGUAUCUGUGAGUGACAUGACAGAGUUAGAGGAGGAACUUAUAUAAUGCUGCUCUUAUGCAUACACGUUCUAGACAUCUGGCUCCCAGUUUAAUUGUUCAAUCCAUCUGGAUCUCCUGAAUUUGUCUUCCACAGGUAAUGAUGGAGCGCAUAUCAAGCUUUCAUGAACAGCUGGUAUGCAUAUGGAAAUUGUUGAUUGUUUUUAAUUAAGGAAAGGAAAUUAAGCGAGGAAAAGAAAGAACUGAAGCAGCAGUUGCAGGUGGCAAACCAGACAGAUGAUGUUGAGGACGGUGGUGGUGGAGGAGGUGGUCUGCAGCUAACCAAUAUUGUUGCCACCACCAGACCACAGAUCCACUCCAACAACUUCUAACACUCCCUCUCUUCAAGGAUU